GACGAACGCUGGCGGCGUGCUUAACACAUGCAAGUCGAGCGGUAAGGCCCUUUCGGGGGGUACACGAGCGGCGAACGGGUGAGUAACACGUGGGUGACCUGCCCUCAGCUCUGGGAUAAGCCCGGGAAACUGGGUCUAAUACUGGAUAUGACUCCAUGACGCAUGUUGUGGGGGUGGAAAGCCUUGUGCGGCUGAGGAUGGGCCCGCGGCCUAUCAGCUUGUUGGUGGGGNGAUGGCCUACCAAGGCGACGACGGAUAGCCGGCCUGAGAGGGUGAUCGGCCACACUGGGACUGAGACACGGCCCAGACUCCUACGGGAGGCAGCAGUGGGGAAUCCUGCGCAA
rnacentral:rRNA from 1 species